GUUUCCUCUACCUGUCCCAUUAACCUCCUAGGUGCCGAUGUCCUCUCUCGGCUCCAGGCUUCUAUCACUUUCACUGCAGAUGGCCAAGUUGAAUUGACAACCCCCUUAUCACAAAAGGAUACCUCUGUACUCUGUUCCCUCCCCAUCCUGUUGAACCUAACAGAUAACACAGGGAGUGCACGGGUCACACACACCCCCAGUGCUCUGGAUCGUAUCCCCCAAG